CAUGUGGUUUAAUUCGAUGAUACGCGAGGAACCUUACCUGGGCUCAAAUGUAUGUUGACGUAUUCUGAAAGGGAUACUUCUUCGGACAAUAUACAAGGUGCUGCAUGGUUGUCGUCAGCUCGUGCCGUGAGGUGUCGGGUUAAGUCCCAUAACGAGCGCAACCCCUAUCAUUAGUUGCCAUCAGGUCAAGCUGGGGACUCUAAUGAAACUGCCUACGCAAGUAGUGAGGAAGGUGGGGAUGACGUCAAGUCAUCAUGGCCCUUAUGCCCAGGGCGACACACGUGCUACAAUGGCCGGCACAGCGGGAAGCGGAGGGGCGACCCUGAGCGGAUCCCUUGAAAGCCGGCCCCAGUUCGGAUUGCAGUCUGCAACUCGACUGCAUGAAGUUGGAAUCGCUAGUAAUCGCGGAUCAGCCAAGCCGCGGUGAAUACGUUCCCGGGCCUU
rnacentral:rRNA from 1 species